CACAUGACUUAUUACACGUUUAACAUGAAUGAUAGGUUUAUAUCAAUGUGCUCGUUAUUGCUCAUUCACAGGGAUCUGGAAUCUACGACUAAUAAUAAACACAGACAGUUAAAUUCACUGGAACAAGACAGGAUAAAAUCCUGAUGAAUAAUCCUGAUAAAAUUUGCUCCCAGACUUUUGAAUUCAAAUUUUCGGUGUUGGUCUGCCCUCAUGUUUAAUUUUCAGUCUCUUCUCGUAAGUGUGAGCACCAGAAGACUAAGCGAGCUGCUAGCAGAAGAAGGAAGUGACUGCUAGCUAGAUUAAUAAACAACAAAUUUCAGAAAUGAAAGACAAAAAGCCAGAACAGCUUGUAGUUACACUGGAAAAUGUAUGUAUUGUGAGGAAUUAGCCCGGGGAAGGGCGGCGCACAGACCCACAGGAGACCAAAGGAUGGUGGCAGACGGUGCUUUAUUGUGGCUAGGGUGAGGUGAACGUGUUAUAAAUGGAAGAGUGCGGGGGUUUGUGAAGGCGCGACGGCCGGCGGAGUCGACUCGUGGCGGAGGCGGGAUUCCCGAGGCGGGGCGGGGGUUUUCCCGGGCCGGCGUCCUCCGUGUGUGCGACUCUCACUAUCCGGCGGUCUCGUCCGCGCUUACGCCUCCUGGAGAGAGAGAGAGAGAGAGAGAGAGAGAGAGAGAGAGAGAGAAAUUAGCGUGGGGCGUGAGGUUACCGUCGUGAUCGGAGGUUGCGAAUCGCUGCAAACACGCACGGAGUCCGUUUUGACGCCACGAUAUUCUCUUCCCCUUCCCGGCCGGAAGCGCGCCCUUUUAUCCUCCUCCGUCGGCGCCUGAGUGGUGGGACUUCCCCGUUGGAUCCGCCAAUCGCUGGCCGGAGUCGCGUCAGUCCCGCCCUGCCGCGGCGGUCCUUCCGGCUGGCGGAAUGUUCGGCAGGAAGCUGCCCACGUCGUGCCGGUGCGGCAGUCGGAGAAGGAGCGUUUUCCCUCUUGUGUGCGCCGGAUCUCUGCCCGUCGCGACAAACAACCUCCAGGAUCCUAAGCAGUCCGGUUCAAGGUGACGUCACUGAGAAGCUCCAUGCUCCGUUUACUAUCACAGAGCAACAGUGCAGAGGAAACAAAAGGAAAGAAAAGUGUAGGAAUGAGAUCACAAAUUAAUGAGUGUUAAUGUGUGUGUUAAUGUGUGUGUGUGUGUGUGUGUUAAUGUGUGUGUUAAUGUGUGUGUGUGUGUGUGUGUGUUAAUGUGUGUGUUAAUGUCUGUGUUAAUGUGUGUGUUAAUGUGUGUGUGUGUGUGUGUGUUAAUGUGUGUGUUAAUGUGUGUGUGUGUGUGUUAAUGUGUGUGUUAAUGUGUGUGUGUGUGU
ensembl:lncRNA